rnacentral:rRNA from 1 species
UGAACGCUGGCGGCGUGCUUAACACAUGCAGGUCGAACGAUGAUCCCUAGCUUGCUGGGGGGAUUAGUGGCGAACGGGUGAGUAACACGUGAGUAACCUGCCCUUGACUCUGGGAUAAGCCUGGGAAACUGGGUCUAAUACUGGAUAUGACCGACUAUCGCAUGGUGGUUGGUGGAAAGCUUUUGUGGUUUUGGAUGGACUCGCGGCCUAUCAGCUUGUUGGUGGGGUAAUGGCCUACCAAGGCGACGACGGGUAGCCGGCCUGAGAGGGUGGACGGCCACACUGGGACUGAGACACGGCCCAGACUCCUACGGGGGGCAGCAGUGGGGAAUAUUGCACAAUGGGCGCAAGCCUGAUGCAGCGACGCCGCGUGAGGGAUGAAGGCCUUCGGGUUGUAAACCUCUUUCAGUAGGGAAGAAGCGAAAGUGACGGUACCUGCAGAAGAAGCGCCGGCUAACUACGU